rnacentral:snRNA from 1 species
GACGGACUGGGAACGGCUCUCU